rnacentral:rRNA from 1 species
GACAGAGGUGCCGAGCGUUAGGCGGAAUCACUGGGCGUAAAGCGCACGUAGGCGGCUUUUUAAGUCAGGGGUGAAAUCCUGGAGCUCAACUCCAGAACUGCCUUUGAUACUGAGAAGCUUGAGUCCGGGAGAGGUGAGUGGAACUGCGAGUGUAGAGGUGAAAUUCGUAGAUAUUCGCAAGAACACCAGUGGCGAAGGCGGCUCACUGGCCCGGUACUGACGCUGAGGUGCGAAAGCGUGGGGAGCAAACAGG